AUUAUCUCAUUCAUGAGAUGGCUUUUGCAGGUAUUCAUGCGGCGAAUCCUGCUAAAGCACACGAAAUGGCUGCUUGUCAUCCAAGGGAUGAUGAACUUCCAUCCUUGUUAAGAGAGUGUGGUAGAGUGAAGGACUUGGAUCAAGGCCGGAGGCUCCACCGUUGGAUUUUCGCUCACAAAUGCCAUAGAUAUGACAGGUACCUGAGAAAUCUGGUUGUUCAGAUGUAUGGAAGCUGUGGGUGCUUGCAGGAGAUGGAAGCGGCUUUCUUGGAGAUCAGAGAGCCAAAUCUCUUCUCAUGGAACAUCCUGCUCACAGCCUAUGCCCAAAACGGGUAUCUCGAGGGCGCGGUAUCGACAUUUCAGAGAAUGCCAGAGUGCAACAUAUUGUCCUGGACGAACCUCUUGUCAACUUACGGUCGGGCUGGUCAAGUUGGAGCGGCAAAGCUGGUUUUUGACGUGAUCCCGGAGCUGGACGUGGCUGCUUGGAACGCGCUUUUGGAAGCUUACUCUCAAAACGGGCAGUUCGGCAAGGCAAAAGAGGUGUUUGACGAGAUGCCGCAUCGAAGCGUGGUCUCUUGGACUAUGAUGAUUCAAGCGAACUUUGAGCUGGGCCACGUCGAAGAGGCAGAGCUUCUUUUCGAGCGGAUACCGGAGAGGAACAUCGUCUGCUGGACGGCUAUGGUGGCGGGACUUAUCGAGAAUGACAGGAUGGAAGCAGCACAGGAGGCCCUGGAUCGGAUGCCCGAGUGGAACAUACUCUGCUGGAACGCACUGCUGGUGGGAUACUCUCAGAAAGGAUUAGCGGAAGAAGCCCAGGCUACACUCGAGAGAAUGCAGGUGUGGAACUGCGUCUCGUGGAACUCGCUCGUUUCAGUUCACGCUCAAAACGGAGAACUCGCCAGAGUGAAAGAAACUUUCGACAGGAUGCCCGAGCGGGACCUCGUCUCGUGGACAAGAAUGGUGCAAGCGUAUGCUGAGAACGGACACAUUGAGCACGCGAGGUGCCUGUUCGAUGCAAUGCCGGAGAGGAGCACGGUGUCGUGGAACACAAUGGUGGCGGCGUGCGCUCACAGCCAGCAUCUGGAAGAAGCAAAGAGGAUGUUCUUGGAGACACCCGAGAAGGACGUGGCGUCGUGGAACACAGCUCUCUCCAACACCGAAGCCAGGGACGAUCUGGAGAGCUUCUUCGAUCGGAUGCCGGUGAAGAACAUCGUCUCGUGGAACGCUCUCCUCGGCUCUCGGGUCUGCGUUGGAGAAUCCGGGAGGAAGAGUCGCAAGGCAGUGGAGGUGAUGGCGAGGAUGGGCCUAGAAGGCGAGAGGCCGAACGAGAUAUCAGUGCUCGGGCUCUUGGUGGCUUGCGUGCAUUUGGGAAUGCUGGACGAGGCUAGAAAGGUGGUGGCGGGCAUGAGAGACGACUAUGGAGUGGAUCCAAGGACGGGACACUUAUCGGCCGUGGUGGGAGUUCUCGCGAGGUGUGGAGACACGGCACAAGCACAGGUUUUUCUGGAAAGCUUACCACUUGGAGGCUUUGCGACGUGGGGUGCUCUCCUCAGUGCUUGCAGCACUCACGGCGAUGCUGGGAAUGGCAGAGAGGCAGCGAAGCGAAUGCUAGUUGAUCCGGGAAGGGGAAAGAAACCGGACGACUCCUCGCCGUAUGCUCUACUCGCCAACAUUCUUCUCGGGUAGAACAAAGUUCCUGUGGAAGAAAUCCCUAAAGUGGUGAGUUUGGUGAUGGAGGAGACAGGCGAGGGGUCCAUUCGCGAAGAUUCGAAGGAUACAAGCGAAGAGGCAUCGCCAUUUCCGGUUUUUCAGAAUGAGGAUGAUGAUCUUCCCCCGAAGGUGGGAUCUCCGGAGGAAGAACUCGUCGAUGGUGUGACGAA